CAAAUUUCACUCGAAGUCUUCGCCUGUUAUUUGUACUUUAAAGGGGAAGAUACGACGAAGGUUAAGGUAUGUUCUAUCAUUUUGAUGUGAAAUGUUGAUAUUUUAGCGAGUUAAAGUGGUUAAAACUACUUGUCGAAGUUGACAACCGCAAGUCACUUCACGUUCGAUGUUCGUUUUGUUAUGGCAUAUUACCGAGCAUAUUACUGAAUUAUACCUUACGUUUCGUGAAGUUUAGUUUAAAUUAGUAGAGAGAAGAGUGCAUUAAGUAUUUAGGGUAUUUUGGAGCUAAAUGUGUUUUAAAAUUUGUCAUUUUAGCGAAAACAAGAAAUGUUGAAGUUGUCCAGAAUGUCGUCCCGGCCAUGUGCUUGCUGCGAAGAGACUCGGACAUCGGACAUUGUAGUGAAUGGUUGACAAUGUGUGUCGCUGGCAAACCUACAACUCCCACUGUACUAGGCAGUCAAGUAUUUUUAACCUGCACAUUUUUGUUUUUAUUUCCCCAAAUUUAUUUUAUGUUCAUAAAUAUCAUGAGUCAUGCAUGACUUUAAAGCUGGAAGGAGUUGAGAUUCCCCACUCAACUGCAUGCCUUCUGAACAUUAGGCCACAUAAAAAAUAGUUGGUUAGCGUCCUUAGCUUUUGCCAAAAAGUGGGUGGGUGGGCGGUUUUAAAAUUUUUACUAAUUUUUUAACGCCUUGGUUUUAGGCCCGAAACUGGAUUUUCAUGCGCAGCACAGAUAUUUUUUAUAUAUUUCAAAAUAUGAUUCAUACCGUCAUUUUUGCACGCAAUUUUGCCACUUAUUAACACAAUUGACUACAGUCAACAGAAAUACUACCUAUAUUAGAACCUGUUGAUCAAUAAAAGUUGGGUUUUUUAAAAAUAAAAAAUAAAAAAAAAUCCUGAGCGGGGCCUUUUUUGUGGGCGGGCGAAGAUGCUAACCAACUAUUUUUUUAUGUGGCCUUAGACUCCAUUUUACAUGCUACCAUUUCACCAGUAAGAAAUUUUUUGAAAAUUUUGAGAUUUGAAAGCUGUUUGCAUGGGCAGUGCCAUUUCAGUUUUAUUAUUUUUCCAAGGUCUCUGUGAGACUUCCAAUCAUUCAGCAUGAACAAAAGCAAUACAUGUAAAAAGAAAGGCGCCACUUUUUGGGUGUACUGUUUUUCUGUGUUGAAUGGCUGGAAGUGCUGCAGGUAUCAUGGGAUAUCUAAUAAAGUUGUGAUGUUAUUUCGGUGCUGUUUCUAUAAAGGGCAGCUUGCUAUGGCUAUAUGCCUUAGCCUAAAAAAAAUUCAAUUAUUUUUCAAAUAAAACAUUUUGGG